rnacentral:lncRNA from 7 species
AUGAGCAGUAGUGACUACUUCAAGAGGAAAGUAGCAGUUCAGUCACCUUAUCAGGUAAUUAUUUUCCUUUCUUAUUUAUUGUGUUCCUCUUUUUUCAUUGAAUUGCACAUGUAUUUUUUCUUUUUAACAUUUUCCAUAACAGUAAAAUGGCAUUCUUCUGCUAAUAUUGAUUCAGCCUUCAUUGCAAAUACACUAGUUGUGCUGUUAUUGACAUUGUUUAACCUUUUACUACUGCCUCGUGACCACUGCUAAAUGAGCAUCUUUUCCUCUUUCUGUAUGUUUACUCACUUUUCCAGCAUUUUUCCCACACUUUUCUCAUAUAUUUCCCAUAUAAUAAGGACUCUCUUUCCCUUGCUUUUUUUUUUUAAGUUAGAAAUGUGAAUGCCAAAAGUAACUUGUAUUUUCAACAUCUAAACACUAUUGAAUUUUUCUUCAUGAGUGGGUGGUUUUUAUCCCAACUUUUGAAUCAUUUUGAAUGAUUUGACAAUCAAUAUUGUGUAACUGAUGUCGAUUAAUAACUGGAAAAUAGUAAUCACUGAUUAAAUGAGUAAAAAUCUCACAAUUUUUUUAUGUGAUGUGUUGUAUUACAGUUUGAGUAAACGCUUGGCAAAUAUGCCAAAAUAUUUGAAUGGGGAAACGAAGCAUUUCUGGAAGAAUGAUUUU